CGCCGUCUUUUCCCCAGAACAGACUACUCUUUGAGCUCUGCCGCCACCCGGACUGGGGAUGGAAGAAAGAAAACACAAAUCUGCACUGUAUGUGGUUCUCCGGAAUGUAGCUUGGCCCUGGAGAAGGAAAGUUAAGGCGCAACCUCGCUGCUCCUCUGCGUGCCCUCUGCAGGCAGCAGGCCCCGUCCGUGGGGCCUGGCUGGCUGGGACGGGCCAGGGUGGACAAGAAGCAUGUCUGACCUCAGCAGUGGCGGGCUCCCGGCCCCUUCCGGUCAGCACUGAAGUCCGGAGGACGGGAGGCUGAGGGAAAGUGUUUGCAAGGACCGAGGGAAACAGAACCCUGUCCUCUGGCCAAGCUGUGGAGAAAGCAGACAAGCCCAGUUUAAGAACUUGGAAUAAGGACAGUCGGGGACAUGCGUCAGGAGCUCUUUCUAGGGGACGUUUCACAUGGUUCUCCUUCAGAGCAUUUAGAAGGUUACCUCAGAGACGUCCCGUCAGCCUCUGAAUGACGCUUCUCCUCUUGGUCAGCUAUCUUUUGCGGUACAUUUUCCAAUCCCAGGGUCGUCUUGGCUUUCUACGUGGAAUAUUUUGCUUCCAGGGCCACAGUUGCAGAAUACGGAAAUUCCCAUGUUGAAUCAAAGCUGCAGCUGCUGGCCUACGCCAUAGCCCCAGCAAC